AAAUGCGCCACUGUAUUUAUUUAUUAAAAGGCGGUCUUUUUGUUCAUCUGUGGCACAAUGCUUAAAGACUUUCGUUCUAAAUCCUAGUGGCAUACGAUGAAAACGAUACGUUCAGUAAUAGUAGCCGAUACAUGUGGUCCCGAUAGCCGUUUUACAAUAUUUUUAAAACGUGGAUGCUAUCUGAAUAUAAAGUAGCGAAUAUAAUUCUGCACAACCAAAUAUAUGUAGGCCAAUAAGAC